CUUUAGAAAUUCUGAUUUAUUGUAAUGACUUUUUUUGCUUGAGAAUAAGAGGAACAAAAGAAUCCAAACUUUACAGUGUAGAUAAGUCUGGAUCACUCUCAAAUUACCAUAAAAUUUUCCCUUCCGUUUUAUUCUUAGGUGGGUCUAAACUGUUUUUAAAUUAUAAAAAUUAGCCAUUGGGAAUAAUUAAAAUGGACACACCUAUUUUGCGUUUUGUUCCUGUUUGGUGUCUUUUAUGACAGCAAUAUUAGAUUUCAAAAUUAUAAGCCACUUGAUUCCUUGUGAGCUUGGUUAGAUCAUAUUUUGGGUUUCAUGGCUUCUCUUUUGAUCUUGAGUAAGAAAAUUAAUAUUUGCCUAUGAAAGUCUAUAUCUCAUUUCUUGUUAAAAGUAUACUCAUUACAUAGGACAGUAAGUUAACAGGCCUUUUUAGUAUUCCUAUGAUGUUUUUGGAAACUGAUAGAGGAAUCAUAUAGUUUGUUUUAUAGUAGUUUCAAGUUCACAUGGGUAUCUAUUUGGUGAAGCUUAGAUCCAGUUGUUCUUACGCCCAUGUAUGCAAGUAAAGACACCAAACGUUCUUUAAAUGAUGCUUUUAAACUUUGAAAAUACAAUUUGAAGCUAUAACUACAAAUUAGACUUAAAUAAAACCCUGAUUUUUCUUGGAAGAAAGAAAGGGUCUACAAAUAAAAUUUGAGUUGUUUGUAUUUCUUAAAAAUUAGGUGGUACCAGCUACAAAGUUCUCAUGAAGAAAAUUAGGAACGGGACUAGAAGUGAUACUGAAGAAGUAAUUUAUUCUGCUUCCCCCACCCAUCCUAAAAUAGAAACCCUAGUGAAAGCAUAAGAACAAAACAUGGGUUCCCUGUCAAAAUCCUUUCCUUUAAUUGCAAAUUCUAUUUUACUCUCACCAAUUAAAAACAUAUCUAUGGAAAUACUCCUCUAAUAUUACUUGAUAGGUUUUUUUCUGGCUAUUUUAUUUAACAGAAAAACAACUUUGGAAACAUUAAAUAUCACUUGAGAGCUUUUCUCUUCUUGAUGUCUUGAAACUUUUACUGUGGCAGCAUUCAGAGAAAAUAGAUUCAGAGCUUAACUUUUCACAGAAAGAAAUCUAAUAUGUAAACCUGAAAAAUGUCAAUUGAGGGAGGUCUUUAUUCUAAAUUUGCUUAGGUGUUUUUUUUUUAAAUAGGCACAAAUUAUGAGUUCUGGGAAAUUUUAUUUCCUGUUCUGCCAUCGUUUUUCUUCCCGAACCUAGUUCGUUUGGUUUUACUUAUGAGCCUGGUACAGUAAUGUCUGUUGGGAAAUAUAUUUACUUUUUAUUGAGGUAGAUCUCUUUUAUAGAUACCCUCCUGAGAUUGACACAAAUAUACCCCUUCCCCAAAAUAAAGAAUGCUAAUUUUUAUUUGAUCACUCAUUUAUAGCAGUUGCUUAAAUGUAUGUAUUUAAAUGACAGUUUUAAUUUUUUAAAAGCAAAAAAGUUUUAAUAAGUUGCCAGAUUUCUAAUAAAUCCAUGUUUAUUUGGUCAAUUGAUAUGGAAGUUGAGUUACUAUGGUUCUGUAGUUUUUUUAAACAAAAAGAGUUCAGCAUAUUUGUUUUUUAGUUUUCUUUAGUUACUGGGGUUAUUCUGCAUGAGAAAGCCCAAUGCUUUCUGUUAGUAGGUAAUUUUUCUCUCAUUUGAUUUUGAAAUCUGACUUAGGAGGUGAACCCUCUUUUUGAAAAGGUUAGCAUGCAUCAAAAUAAAUUAUAUAUUUUAAGUUCCAAAAUACAAGGGACAUAAAAUUCCAUUUCUAGCAUAAAGCCAUAUAAUAUUCUUGAAUCUCAUUACAUCAUUUGCCUCCUGCCCAUUUGGAUAAUCAUACCUACGUUUUAUUAAUUGUGUAUUAUUUGUAAAACCAAACCCUUCCAGUGAUACUUGCUAUAAGGCUGUUAACUUGCCAUUUAUAAAGACUUCUAAAUAUGUUAAAAUUUCCUGUUCUGAUUUUCCAAAGAGAAUUUUAUUAUACUGAGUUAUCUGAUACUGUUAAAGAAAACCAACUGAAGUAUGUAGAAGAAAUGUUAAUGUUAGUGUUGCCCUUUAUUAUCUGGAGUCUCUUAAGUGAGCAGCUAAGAAAAAGCCUUAUAGAAAGAGUGCACUGGAUUUAUAAGUGUGUUUAUGUUUCUCUAAGAAUGGGAGCUUCUGUUAACUUAGUUCUGAGUAACCGGGUGGAUUGGGUGACUGACUAGAGAAUCCAGAAUGACAAAUCCGUUAACCAGGCAUGUUUACUUGUGCAUUAGAAGUUUGUUGAUUAUUCUUAUUUUUAAAAUACAAACACUAAGCUUUAAAAAUGUAUAUUUAAUGUAUUGGUCAGUAAUUUAAAUACAAAUAUUUAAUUUGAAGUAGUUACUGUUAAUCUUUCUAGAGAAUUUUUUUUCUUUUUAUAUAUGUAUAUACAUAUAUAUUUUUUAUUUAGAGGUUACCAGAAGCUCUGGGUUUUUUGUUUUGUUUUUACUUUUUAAUCAUUUUCAGAUGUUAUCCAGAAAUCUGCAAGUGUACUUUUCCUGUUUUAACUCCUUCCUUUUAUCACCUGACUAUCAGGGAAGCGAGGUUGAGGCUGCCCUGACCUGACAUGUCAUGAUGUCGACUUGCUAGGUGGGGUUCGCUGGGGACGAUAACCAGUGGAAUUGUUGGGGUAAAGAUGAGGAUCAGUAUUGUCAAUAUGGUAACUGACCAACAAAGGGGCUCAACCUCAGUCUUCAAAAAUGUAAAGGAGAAAAUGUUUCCUUAAAUAAGGAAAUACUACAUUAUCGAAGAUCUCAUAUCAAGCACUUUUUGAAUAGAUUAGGAGACAGAAACAUCCCUAUACAGGUGUUCUUGGAGGAUUAAUCUCGUACUUCAACCAGGAAUCCUUUAAAUCUGCAGGUGUCAGUUCCCUAGGUUUUUAAGUAGGUUAAGCAGGGAUUAAUGUAUUUUAGAAGGCCAUCACUGUUUUUAUCAGCUAAAUCACUUUUGGAAAUUUUGUAUCUUAUAUUGAUCAAAAUAUUAUCAAAACAAAUUCUGGUUUCAUUCGAACCUAUUGAUUAUAAUGGUGUUUAGAUAUUUUUCUGUUGUUCAAAUUAGUUUGGUCAGAAGGUCUUGGGUAUACCUCUUGCAAAUUGUUGUAUAACUAAAUAUUUUUGGUUAGAUGGUACAUGUUUAGCAUUGGCUUGUCAUAUUGAAACUUUCCGUGCUUCCUUUUGAGAAGUAGAACCUUAGCAGAUAAUCAUAUUUAAAUGUAAGCUAUGUUGAAUUGGUGUGGAAAACAAUUUAAUCUGUUUAAAAUACAACCAACAAUAUAUAUUCUUAUUGAAACUUCUUUCUAAAUCAUGAAGAGUAAUGUAGGUAUGUUUGUUAGUUGUAAUGUUAUUUCUGUUUGACUUUCCAAAAUGUGGGGAAAAAAGAUGAGACCAUUUGUUGCAUUUAUCAAAAUAAUUUCGAAAGAACUUCUGGUGAUUGUUUUAAUUGUCUAGUUUACACUGUUUAGGUCACAGUUCACCACUCAGCAGUUUUUGUCAAACUUUAAUGUGGAUGGGAAUCCCUGGUAAUUUCGUUAAAAUACAGAUUCUGAUUCAGUAGAUUUGAGAUGAGGUGCAGGAAUCUGUAGGGGGCCAGCCCAGUGUCCUAGUGGUUAAGUUUAUGCACGCAGGAUCAGAUCCUGGGUAUGGACCUACACACUGAUCAUCAAGCCUCGCUGUGGCAGUGUCCCACAUGCAAAAUAGAGGAAGAUUGGCACACAUGUUAACUCAGGGCCAAUCUUCCUCCUCACCACCACCCUCCCCCCAAAAAAGAAUCUGCAUUUCUAGCAAGCUCUUAGGUGAUGCCAGUGUCCCUGAAUACACUUGCAGUAGCAAGGUCAUAGAUUGUUUAUCUCAUCUUUGGCGGGAAUUUCAGAGUAGACCUUAGUGGAAAAGAUAACAAAUGUUUGCAAUGAUUUGCAGGAUCUAGUUGGAUCUAAUUGGAGAUAAAAAACUUUGGUAAAGGCCACCGCAAAUGUUAAUAUGCUUAGGCUCCCAAAGAAAGGUUAGGAGCAUAGUCGACAAGAAAAUAAAAUGAAUUUAGAAAAAGAGGCUUUAAUAGUUUUAGGGAAUUGAGGGAAGAUAACAGUUGGAAGAAAAAAGCAAAAAAGAUCAGGUCACUUGAGGAAAUGUCCUGGCAUGUGUAUUUAGGAAUUAGUACAGAAAACAGGUUACAACAAGAGUCAUAGAAGAUAGAAUAAAAAUAACUUCUGAAAGCUCAGAAAGGGGAGGUUAAUCGGUUACUAAAAAUACCCAUGUGGUUUUAUUUAUUUGAAACUUCUAACUUUGAAAAAAGGUUAUAACAUUCACCAGUUAGUUCAAAGUAGAUCUUAGAUGGUGAAAAUCUGCAUCAGAUUAAAGAAAAAAAUCAUUAAAAGUGACUUUUAAAAAAUAAUUUAUACAGAUUAAGAUCAACAGAUGGAAAAUGCUCUUGAAGAAUAGAAAUGGCAGGUAUCUCCAUUAUAUAAAGAGGGGCUAAAAGAUAAUUCCUGAUAACUGUGAUGAAAUAAUCUGAUUGUCAACUCUAAAACUUUAUUUUGAAAAAUAAAAACAU
ensembl:lncRNA